AAAUUAACUAUAGUUGUACCACUGUAAUGGUAGUGUUUUAAUGUGCUUUUAUAUGACAUUUCACAGUAAUCACAUUUACUGUACCAUGCUUGUAAUACCUUUUUUUUUUUUUUUUUUUUUUUUUUACAUUAAAAAACAUUUUUCCCAUAUUGCAGUUCAAUUCAUAUUGGUUUAUAUCUUAAAUAUUUUGCUCACAGAUCACUAUUAACAUUCUGUAUAUAAUUCUGUUUUAUUUUCUUUCCCCUUGUAUUAAUUUUUUAGCUGAAAAGACGUAAAGUAAGCAGUCACCCCAGUGGUGUUUGUGGAGAGGUAUUCCUUCAGAAAUGAAGAAGACAGAAAGCUGCAGAGGCAGGAUUGUUUGCAGAUAAUGCUGUUCUUCUUUUUCAGAAGUUUUUGGGGAGCCAACCCUCACAAACCUUCCUAAAAACUAAAAGAGCUAUUACUGAGUCUCAGCGACUCUUGCCACGAUCAGCUCUUCCCAGAAGAGAAGGAAGACCAAGGAAAUGAUUUGCUCAGGAUGAGAAAUGAAGAUGGUCAUCUUGUGCUCAAGCAAACAGAAGUCCUCUGAUGAUCUCAUCAACCAAAUGAGGGGUUUUGACCAAGUGAUGCUCUUGAAAGGAGUGAAAGAAGAGGAUGUGGUAAAUUGUCUUCAGAGAAAAAGCUUCUCAAAAGAUCUUAAAACAGCUUGAAGAAUGGUCUGGGAUCUUAGGACUGGGAGAUCUCACUUGCACCCAGUUAACCUCCAUAGAGAACAUUUAUCAGAAGCGCUGUCUGGGCAGGGCAAGAAACAUCAUCAAGGAUGCCUCUCACCCUAACCAUGGACCUUUCACCCUCCUUCCAUCCGGCAGGCGUUACAGGAGCCUACGUUCUCGAACUAGUAGACUCAGGAAGAGCUUCUUCCCCGAGGCUGUGACACUCCUGAACACCACACCACCAAUCUAACCUGCACCUGCUCUUUUACUGCACUGGUCACGUACUUUACAUACAUGUAUUGCACUACUCAUAUUUUGCACAGACUGCACAUGGUUAAAUCCAUUACACUAUAAACUGUCUAAAGCUGUUACUGUACAAGCACAGUAAACUAUUUCUACAAUAAAUAUAAUUGCACUACUAUUAUUUUGCAUAUAAUAAAUUGUUAAACUAUACUUUUGCACACUCAUUCAACUGUAUUUAUUACCACUGUUCUCAAGUUCCUGCUAUUCAUAAUGUAUAUAUAAUUCUUCUUUGCUCUGUUCAUAAUGUACAUACAAUCCCUACAUUAAAUUCAUAUUUAUAUUCUGUAUAUACUCUGAUCAAUAUUGUAUAUAGCAACUCCACUGUAAAUUCUGUAUAUCAUAGCUUUACUUACUCUGCACUUUUAUGUAUAUAAAACACUAUAUUCUUGCACUUCUGGUUAGAUGCUAACUGCAUUUCAUUAGCUCUGUACUUGUACUCUGCAUAAUGACAAUAAAGUUGAAUCUAAUCUAAUCUAAUCUUCUGGCUGAGAACAAGCUACACCACAUCAGUGCUGGAU